UACGAAGGGGGCUAGCGUUGCUCGGAAUCACUGGGCGUAAAGGGUGCGUAGGCGGGUCUUUAAGUCAGGGGUGAAAUCCCGGAGCUCAACUCCAGAACUGCCUUUGAUACUGAAGAUCUUGAGUUCGGGAGAGGUGAGUGGAACUGCGAGUGUAGAGGUGAAAUUCGUAGAUAUUCGCAAGAACACCAGUGGCGAAGGCGGCUCCCUGGCACGAUACUGACGCUGAGGCGCGAAAGCGUGGGGAGCAAACAGG
rnacentral:rRNA from 1 species